rnacentral:lncRNA from 1 species
CUGUAGAAGGAAAGGGACUGGGGGGGACAUGGUACUGUAGAGAGGAACAGGGACUGGUUAGUGUAGAGAGAAAGGGACUGGUUAGUGUAGAGAGGAAAGGGACUGGGGGACAGGGUAGUGUUAGAGAGGAAAGGGACAGGUUAGUGUAGAGAGGAAAGGGACUGGGGGGGACAGGGUAGGUAGAGGGAAGGACUGGGGGACAUGUACUGUAGAGAGGAAAGGGACUGGGGGGGUGGGGACAGUUAGUGUAGAGAGGACAGGGACUGGUUAGUGUAGAGGGAAAGGACUGGGGGACAUGGUACUGUAGAGAGGAAAGGGACUGGGGGACAUGGUACUUGUAGAGGGAAGAGACUGGGGGGACAGGUUAGUGUAGAGAGGAAAGGGACUGGGGGACAGGGUACUGUAGAGAGGAAAGGGACUGGGGGGACAUGGUACUGUGAGAGGAAUUAGACUGGGGGGACAUGGUACUGUGAGAGAGA